ensembl:piRNA 21ur-6200 ncRNA
UCAUCAGAGGAAAAAACAUGA